rnacentral:rRNA from 1 species
GACGAACCGUGCAAACGUUAUUCGGAAUUACUGGGUGUAAAGGGUUCGUAGGCGGUGUGGCAAGUCGGGAGUGAAAUCUCUGGGCUCAACUCAGAGACUGCUUCCGAAACUGCUGUGCUGGAGUGUGGGAGAGGCGCGUGGAAUUGCAGGUGUAGCGGUGAAAUGCGUAGAUAUCUGCAGGAACACCCGUGGCGAAAGCGGCGCGCUGGACCACUACUGACGCUGAGGAACGAAAGCUAGGGGAGCAAACAGG